rnacentral:lncRNA from 1 species
AGGACUGGUGCCUCACACCGUCCAACAUAAAGUUAGGAAAGCUACUUAAUACUCUUGCACAUUCAGCUUUUAGAUGCAAGCAUGUAGACUCUUCAUUUGGCUUCACUGUAAGUUUCAACAGUGAAGAAAUAUGCCCUGACAACCACGUGAAGCUAGAAGAAACUCUACACAACCCUAAUUCUACAGUGUUGUCAAAUGAAAUCAAUAAAUCAUCCUUUCAUUGAAAGACCUUAAGCCUUGAGGUUACUUUCUAUAAAUUACAAGUGUGGCUGGCUGUUUCAGAGGCUGAAGAAAUCAAGAAGGAACUCUUUCUGGUGAUCCACUCUACUGAGGGUCAGCUUUUGGCCUUUUCUUGGUUCAUCCAUAAUGCCAAGUCAUGGAAAAUCUUGCCCAAUCUGCUUUCCCAGGCUGCUUCUUACCACAUCAAAUAGAAAACUAAAUGUGUCUAAAAGAAAUCUUGCCUCACUGGCAGCUUUCUGCUUGAUGUGACUCUUGCACGAACUCUGAGGUCUCCUAAUACAGUGCUUCCAUCUGCUAUUGAUCUUCCUCCAUGAACAAGGCAUCGAGUGAACAUACUUGACCUUCUCUAAAGUCCACCGUGGCCUGUAGAGCUCACCCUCCAAAUUAGUGACCGAUGGAACAUUUCUGAAAGUAUCAGUCAGCCUGAAUCCUCCUG